UACGUAGGGGGCAAGCGUUGUCCGGAUUUAUUGGGCGUAAAGAGCGUGUAGGCGGCCAGGUAGGUCAGCUGUGAAAACUCGAGGCUUAACCUCGAGACGCCGGCUGAAACCCUCUGGCUAGAGUCCGGAAGAGGAGAGCGGAAUUCCUGGUGUAGAGGUGAAAUGCGCAGAUAUCAGGAAGAACACCCGUGGCGAAGGCGGCUCUCUGGGACGGUACUGACGCUGAGACGCGAAAGCGUGGGGAGCGAACAGG
rnacentral:rRNA from 1 species